UUCAGGCUGCUCCUUGUUAGAAAAGAAAUGAUUUUGGGGGAUGCCUUUUGGUAGUAAAGAAAUUCUGCUGAGGACUUUAUUGCCCUAUCUGGCUAAAUAAUUUAUUUCCACCUCCUGUAUUAUUAUUACAUUAAGUAGGACUUUCGGUAUAAUAUUAAAAAGCAGUGGUGAGUGGGCACAUCCUUGCUUGGUCCCAUCUUAGCAAGAAAGCUUCUGGCUCCUCACCUUUGAGUAUGAUGUUGGAAGUGGUUUUUAGAUGAUAUUUAUCAAGUUGAGAAAAGUCUUGAGAAGACUGCUCAGCCUGCAAGAAGAUAACAGAAGAUAAUUAAAACGAAAACAAAGAAACUGGAUGAUGACAGGCUGAAACUACUCUCCGGGAGCAAAAUCUCAGCCUAAUCUAAGAACAUUCUCCAUUCCCAGGAUGUGAGAUAUAGAAACUCCUCCCAAUAUUUUUCUUGUGGUAUUUCAAUAGUGCUAUGAAAAGGGGCUGCUGUAUGGUUCCAAUCCUUCCCUCUGUCCCAAAACUACCUCCUUUCGUGAAUUUGUGGAGAGUAUAUUACUUGUCUUCUUGGUACAUAUAUCUCAAGGCUGAGACCAGGUCUAAGAUUAUCAUAAAGGCCUAAACAUAGGACUUGAUGGCUAUUGUGCUGGACUUUUGGGUUGCCUACUUUGGGAGGCGUAAGCAUAUUAUACCUGAGCGGGAAACAAGUUUUUAUAAUAGAAAGGGAGAAUAUUCUACCCAUUACAACUAUUCACAAAUAUGUAGUAUUAUCAUUCAUAAGGGAGAAACAUUCCUCCUACUUUAACUAAACUAUCCCUAUGUGAUUUUGUAUGGCCAAUAAAAUGUGAGCUGAAAUGUUAUAUAGUACUUCUAGACAAAAUGUUAAUAUCAUUGUGUGGCCAACCAUCUUUUCUUUUCCUCCCUACCUCCAAAGUUGCAUAUGCAAUUUAUCACAAUGGAGCUUCUGUCAGUUAAGAUCCAUGAAGUAACUACUAAGGCCUGAGCCCCCUUGACCCCUUGAUUGCCCUCACUGGCCUUACAGCAUUAGUGGGGGAAAAAAAAUCUUCUUUCAAGCUUUAAAUAUAAGAUACAUAACAA
rnacentral:lncRNA from 1 species